AUUGAACGCUGGCGGAAUGCUUUACACAUGCAAGUCGAACGGCAGCACGGGGCAACCUGGUGGCGAGUGGCGAACGGGUGAGUAAUACAUCGGAACGUGCCCAGUCGUGGGGGAUAACGUAGCGAAAGCUACGCUAAUACCGCAUACGAUCUACGGAUGAAAGCGGGGGACUCGCAAGAGCCUCGCGCGAUUGGAGCGGCCGAUGGCAGAUUAGGUAGUUGGUGGGGUAAAGGCUCACCAAGCCUGCGAUCUGUAGCUGGUCUGAGAGGACGACCAGCCACACUGGAACUGAGACACGGUCCAGACUCCUACGGGAGGCAGCAGUGGGGAAUUUUGGACAAUGGGCGCAAGCCUGAUCCAGCCAUUCCGCGUGCAGGAUGAAGGCCUUC
rnacentral:rRNA from 1 species